UACGGGGGGGGGCAAGCGUUGUUCGGAAUUACUGGGCGUAAAGGGCUCGUAGGCGGCCAACUAAGUCGGAUGUGAAAUCCCCAAGCUUAACUUGGGAACUGCAUCCGAUACUGGAUGGCUUGAAUCCGGGAGAGGGAUGCAGAAUUCCAGGUGUAGCGGUGAAAUGCGUAGAUAUCUGGAGGAAUACCGGUGGCGAAGGCGGCAUCCUGGGACCGGCAUUGACGCUGAGGAGCGAAAGCUAGGGGAGCAAACGGG
rnacentral:rRNA from 1 species